CCAAGAGCCAGUGUGCCGAAGCCAGGCGGGAGCUGCAUUUUCCUUUCCUAUGUGGCUUCAGAAGUCACACAGCAUCGCUUCUGCUGUGUCUAGUUGGUUAUGAGCGACUCGCUCAGGCCAGCCCAGAUUCAAGGGGAGGAGAAUUAACUGUCCCUCGUCUUGGGGAGUGGCAAGGUCACACUGCAGAAGAGCACGUGAGAUGGGAGUUCUUGUGGCCAUCUUUGGAAAAUACAGUCUGUCACCAUUCUUAAAGCAGUAUUUUCCCCGCAGUAAACGUAGCAUUCUGAAUUAUGUGGGCAUGAGAAUUCAUUUAAUUUAGAAAUUAUUUACAGCAAAAGCAUCCAUCUAUCAAUUAUCUAAGCAUAGGCAUGUGCUGUCAUUUCACGUUCCACGCCCAUGACAGACAUCACUAAUCAAUGGCAGCACUGUUUCUACGAGGCCCAGACAGGGCUCCCGACACCUCACUACAGUAUGCUAGGCAGAACCAUCAAUCAGUUGUGGUGGGGACGUGAAUGAAAACUUGUCUGCUACUUCUGAGAAAUAUUCCUACUUUCUUACUUUUACAAACGAUUAACUGACGUUUCACGUAGGGUGUAAAAGCCUAUCUGAAAAUAGACCAGUCGAUCUGUAAAUUGAUGAAAAUUAUGUGCCCAAUGUGGACAAAAUGAACGGCUACUGUUAGAUGAAAGAAAUCAAUUGAUUUCAGAAAUAGUACGACGCAUAUCAAUAAAAUAACUUUACUGGUAUUUUUGAACUUAGAAGUGAAUUAGAGGUUGACUUUGCUGUUUUCAGGUCACGGCCCAGCUUUUUUGUCCACUUGGCUCUUUCAUCUGCCACUUUGCAGCCCCGGCUGUCACAAUGCUUCACGUCUGACUUCAUGAUUCCUAAAAGCCUUGUACAGCACGUUGCAAAGCACUUCAACUUGCAUCCUUUCAUUUAAUCUUCACCACCGUUCUGUGAAAUAGGUAGAUUUGCAGUAAACAUGACAUUUAGCAAUCAGAUUAUUUGCCCCAAACCAUACAAGUCACUAAUAAUAAUAUAUAUUGAUCACCUGUCGGGGACCAGAUACCAUCUAAUCACUUAACAUGCACCGUAUCGUUUAAUCCUUAUCACAACCCGAAAAUGGGUGUUAUUAUCUCCAUCUUACAGAUGAGGAAAGGGAGGCUGUAAGAGAUGAGGUAAUUUGCCCAAGUUUGAAAUAAGCAAGUGGUGGAACUGAGAUUCAGACCCGAGUCGAUCAGACUAUAAAAACAAAGUAAAAUCUAGAACUAGAACCAAGGCCUGAGUUACUUCCUUUGGGAAAUAAAAUUUUAUUCAGGUCUAAUCUUUUAAAAUGAUUUUAUCAAGAUGAACUGAUCAUAAAUUUGGUGUAUAACUCAAUGAUAUGUUUUUGACUGAUGGGUGGUGCCGAUAGGGGGAUGUAUCUACACUGACAUCUGGGGAGAGGUCAAGGCUGGUUUAAAAUUGAAGGUAAGUUCGGGGGUCCCAAGUGUCAUCCGGUGGUAACCAUCGCAGUGUGGCUGAUCUAUGGCAGGGGGAAGGUUUGGGGGUCUGGCCCCCUCUGCACCGUCUCCCUGAACCCAGGGGGUCCUGGUUGUUCUGCUGGGAAGUGUGUGGCGUCCUAAGGAUGUUCUUCCCAGGACCCCUGAGUUCGUGUUUCUGUUCCCUUCUCCAC
ensembl:lncRNA